UACGAAGGGGACUAGCGUUGUUCGGAAUUACUGGGCGUAAAGCGCACGUAGGCGGAUUUGUAAGUCAGGGGUGAAAUCCCGGGGCUCAACCUCGGAACUGCCUUUGAUACUGCAAAUCUCGAGUCCGAUAGAGGUGGGUGGAAUUCCUAGUGUAGAGGUGAAAUUCGUAGAUAUUAGGAAGAACACCGGUGGCGAAGGCGGCCCACUGGAUCGGUACUGACGCUGAGACGCGAAAGCGUGGGGAGCAAACAGG
rnacentral:rRNA from 1 species